rnacentral:rRNA from 1 species
GGAGUUAGCCGGUGCUUCUUCUGCGAGUAACGUCACAGAUGUAAGGUAUUAACUUACACCCUUUCCUCCUCGCUGAAAGUGCUUUACAACCCGAAGGCCUUCUUCACACACGCGGCAUGGCUGCAUCAGGGUUUCCCCCAUUGUGCAAUAUUCCCCACUGCUGCCUCCCGUAGGAGUCUGGGCCGUGUCUCAGUCCCAGUGUGGCUGAUCAUCCUCUCAGACCAGCUAGGGAUCGUCGCCUAGGUGAGCCUUUACCUCACCUACUAGCUAAUCCCACCUGGGCUUAUCCAUCAGCGCAAGGCCCGAAGGUCCCCUGCUUUCCCCCGUAGGGCGUAUGCGGUAUUAGCAGUCGUUUCCAACUGUUAUCCCCCACAAAUGGGCAAAUUCCCAGGCAUUACUCACCCGUCCGCCGCUCGUCAUCUUCAAAGCAAGCUUUUGAAAUGUUACCGCUCGACUUGCAUGUGUUAGGCCUGCCGCCAGCGUUCAAUCUGAGCCAGAAUCAACUCUGA